rnacentral:lncRNA from 1 species
GGAGUUUUUUUUUUUGCUUUUUUUUUGAAUUUUUUUACAUCAAAACACUCCUUUUCCCUUCCUCUACUCAAAUCCGGACUAAGAUUUUCAAAACAAACCACACACAAACCUAGAUCUAGAGUGCAAGAUUAAAAAAAAAAGAGCAAAAAAAAGUACCUCUACUCUCUCUCUUCUUCUCCGGUUCGUUUCUUCCCUCUGGUUCGGCGCUGGUUUUUCCGGUUCGUAGCUUGCCUCUCCUUGGUUCAGUCCGUAGCUUUGCUCCUUGGUUCGGAUUUGGUUUUGUUUUGGUUCGUGCUUGCUUGCUUUGAUUCGUGUUGGUUAUUGCUUUUUGUUCGUGUUGGUUGUUGUUGUUGUUAUUGAGUAAGGUAUUUGAAGUUAUGGUGUUGCUGGAUUUUUCUAUGAAUCUAUGAAUGUUCUUCCUAAACUCAUACUAUUUUCUUUGUAAUUUUUGGGUUUGAUUUGAAAAAGGUUGGAACAGUAGAAAAUUAGGGUUUGUGAAUUGCUGCUGAUUUUCUGACGUGAAUAGUGACUUCUGGCCCAUUUCCCAAUGAUUGACAGGGUUUUUAUAGUGACAAACUAGGGUUGGCUCUGGUACAAACAAAUGACCAAAAUGCCCCUGCAGCUGAGACUUGGAGAAAAAGAUUUGACAAAAAAAGAUAAAUAAAUAAAUAAAAAAAAACAAAAUGAGUAAAACAAGUAAAAAAAAUAAAUAAUAAAAAAAAGAAAAGAAAAGGGAAAGAAGAAAGUCACGUGAGUGACUUUUGUUUUUUUCUUUUUUUUCUAAAAAAAUAAAAAAAUAAUAAUAAUAAUAAUAAACAAACUAGCCUAAAAAAGAAAAUAAAUAAAAAAAAAAAAGUCCCUUCGAAAUCUGACAUGAGGUACUUCAAAGUAUCCUCCCUGCCGAAAUUUUGUUUGAAAUGAUUAAUAAAAAAACGCCUUUUAAAAUGCGAUCAGGCCUUCUCUUUUUUUGACGUGAUCGUUACGAUUAAAAAAAAAGACUAUGCGACGUAAAAAUGAAAGUGUGAAAUGCGAACGUUGAUUUAAAUGUAAAAAUAAAAACUUUUUGAAUGACUAAAGACAAGAAACCCGAACUUUAAAUGGUACAAAAAAACGAAUAAAAGGGAACGUGAACCAUUUUAAAAUACGGACAAGAGAUUUUAAACGGUCCAAAAUUGGGGUAUGACAGAUGCCCCUAUUUAAGUUUCUUCGUCACAAAGGUUUUAAAAGAGAACUUUUUAAACCAAAGGGUCGGAGAGACUUAAAUAUAUAAAAACGCCAAUUUUGGACCAUUUGAAACGCCAGAGAUGUAAUGCUGAUGAAUGUGAUAAUACGACUGAAUACGAUGUAAGUAUGAAGGUAAAGAUGAUGCAGAGGCUGACUGGGAGCCAAAUGGAUAGGUAUCACUGGGGAAAGAAAUGAUAGCUAAGUAUAAAUGACAUUGUUUCAAGGCGAUAGUAAAGACAUGAUUGAUUGCCGACAAGUGGCGAAUGUAAAAACAUGAUUGAUUGCCGACGAGUGGCGAAAGUAAAGGCAUGAUUAGCCGACGAGUGGCAAAAGUAAAGACAUGACGGGCCGACGAGUGGCGAAAGUAAAGACAUGACGGGCCGACGAGUGGCUAAAUUAAAGACAUGACGGGCCGACGAGUGGCGAAAGUAAAGACAUGACGGGCCGACGAGUGGCGAAAUUAAAGACAAGACGGGCCGACGAGUGGCUAAAGUAAAGACAUUGUAAAGCUUGAUAUGAGUGGGGAUUAACUUGACAAAGAUACACCUGAGGGGAAAAAUGAAAUUGUCUGAAGACGAUGGGGCAAUUGUAUAGACUGGUUACUGGCGAGACCUGCCACUUUGAAACAUGAUUGGUUUUAUAACAUACCUGAGUUUAGACCCAUUUUGAGGAUAAUGAAGCAAAAUAUUGGGUAAAAAAUGAAACUAUGUAUGGAUGAUGUUUACAUGCGUGCUAUGUAUGCAUGAAUGAAUGAAUAUGUAUGAGACUCAUAUGAUGGUGUAAUGGUAAGAUUGUUGAGACAGGACUGGGCAGGUCUACGAGGAGAAUGGCCCGACAUCACUGUACGAACACUCAAAGCCUUCAUUGGGGAUAAAGUCACGGGGAUGAAUCAACCAUUGUUAGGGUACAGCCCUUAAACAUACUGCUGAGGUAAGUCUUCACAAACUGUGGUAUAAGUCGCCAUUUCAUCAAUGCAACACCGUACUGUCUUGUCUGAAUAGUCAUUGCUUUUUGUUAUUAUUUUUUUUUUGAAAUCCCUAACUUUUGCCUGGAUCGUCCUUUCGGAUUUUCAAUCCACCGGGGAGACAUUUUUCUUUUUCUCUUUUUGUAUGCCCCUAAUUUUUACCUGGACCGCCCUUUCGGGUUUUCGAUCCACUAGGGCGCUCUUUUCUCUUUUUUUUUUUUUUUUUUUUUUUUUUUUUUGCAAUGACUAUUUCUUCUUUGUUGAACCUGCUUGUUUCGGACCAACUGUUGACACAUACUUAUGUGAUACAUGUUUUUUAAAGAUAAUAUGUUUGUCAUUUUUUGUUUUUUUUUUUUUUUUUUUUUUUUUUUUUUUUUUUUUUAGAAAGAAAACAUAAAAUCUUUAGAAAAGUUUUUUUUUCAAAAUUUUUGCUUCAAAUACUAAUACUAAAAACGAAAGAAAGAUUUUUUUGCACAUAGAAUAAACAAGAAUUCCAACAAAGGGGCACAUGCUCAAAUUGAUUUAAUAGAAAUGGUGACCGGCUAAAGGCAUGGCACCACAGAUUACAAAGAGUUGGAAUAUGGUAAUUAUAUGGGAUAGGUACAUUGAACACAAUAACCGCUAUACUUCUUAACCACUUUGAAUUCCACAGUUUGGAUGCUUCAACAUUAGAGAACUUCUGACAGUCAAAGUGUCUCGGGCGAGUGAUGUUUCAUCUGAUGCAGUUACUUGUCUCGAUCCUUAAUUUUUGCAUAGAUCGCCCUUGCGGGUUUUCGAUCUAUCAGGAUAAUUUCCCUUUUUUUUUUUUUUUUUUUUUUUUUUUUUUUUUGUCUCUAAUUUUUGCCUGGACCGCCCUUUCGGGUUUUCGAUCCACCGAGACGCUCAUUUUUGGUUUAAGCCGCCCUUUCAGGUUUUCGACCUACCGAGCUGUUCUUUUAUAUAUUUAGACAAAGUAUUUCUUGACUGCAUCAGAAUUCACAGGACGAGGUAACUCCUCUCCAUCCAUAUUUGUAAGAAUUAAAGCACCACCAGAGAAAGCUCUCUUCACCACAUAGGGACCUUCAUAGUUUGGCGUCCAUUUGCCCCUAGGAUCUGGUUGAAAGGAUUUGAUACAUUUGAGCACAAGAUCUCCUUCCUUGAAUUCGCGGGGAUGGACUCCUUUAUCGAAUGCUUGUUUCAUCCUUGACUGAUAUAACUGUCCAUGACACAAAGCAGCCAUACGUUUUUCCUCAAUCAAAUUCAACUGGUCGUACCUGCUCUGGCACCAUUCAGCUUCAGACAAAUCAGCUUCCAUCAAGACUCUUAAAGAAGGAAUCUCAACCUCUACCGGUAGUACAGCCUCCAUACCAUAUACCAAAGAGAAAGGGGUUGCCCCUGUCGAGGUUCGCACUGAGGUACGGUAUCCAUACAAAGCGUAGGGUAACAUUUCAUGCCAGUCCUUAUAAGUAACUACCAUCUUCUGUAUGAUCUUCUUGAUGCUCUUGUUUGCAGCUUCAACUGCCCCAUUCAUCUGUGGUCUGUAAGGAGAAGAAUUGUGAUGUUGAAUCUUGAAGUCAUCGCACAACUCUUUCAUCAUGUUGUUAUUCAGAUUUGUGCCAUUGUCUGUGAUGAUUCUGUUGGGAACACCGUAGCGGCUGAUGAGGUUGUUCUUGAUAAAUCUGACCACUACCUGCUUGGUCACAUUGGCGUAAGAUGCUGCUUCAACCCACUUGGUGAAAUAAUCGAUAGCCACUAAUAUGAAGCGAUGCCCAUUGGAAGCCUUUGGUUCAAUCCGACCAAUCAUGUCAAUGCCCCACAUAGAGAAGGGCCACGGGGAAGAGAUGACAUUGAGCAUAGAUGGUGGUAUAUGAAUCUUGUCAGCAUAGAUUUGACAUUUGUGGCAUCUCUUGGCAUGAUUGUAGCAAUCAGCGUGCAUUGUUAUCCAGUAGUACCCAGCUCUCAAUAUCUUCUUCGCCAUGGCGUGCCCACAUGAGUGAGUUCCGAAAGAGCCUUCAUGAAUCUCGCACAUCAAUUUUUCUGCUUCAUGCUUAUCCACACAUCUAAGUAGGACCCCAUCAAAGUUCCUUUUAUACAAAACGUCUUCGUUAAGGAAGAAACGGCUUGACAAUUUUCUCAAUGUUUUCUUGUCCUUGUUGGGUGCCCCAGGUGGGUACUUUUGAGUUUGAAGGAAAACUUGGAUAUCAUGAUACCAUGGCUUGUCAUCAUCAAUUGCUUCAGCUACAAACACAUAAGCAGGUCGGUCGAGAAAUUGGACAUUGAUUACUGGCACAGUAUUGUGACCAUUCACAUUGAUCAUUGAGGAUAGAGUAGCUAAAGCAUCCGCCAUUUGAUUCUCAUCACGGGGCACAUGGUGUAACUCUACUUUGUUGAAGAAAGUCAGCAAUCGUCUCGCAUAAUCUCUGUAGGGAAUCAAACCAGGAUGGCGAGUUUCCCAUUCUCCUUUGAUCUGGUUAAUCACGAGAGCUGAAUCUCCAUAGAUGACAAUUUUCUUGAUCCUCAAAUCGAUGGCUUCCUCGAUACCCAUGAUGCAAGCUUCGUACUCUGCGAUGUUGUUUGUGCAAUCAAAACGUAACCUUGCAGUAAAAGGGAUGUGAGUACCCUUAGGGGUAAUGAGUACCGCACCAAUUCCACUUCCAUAGACAUUAACAGCUCCAUCAAAUAUCAAACCCCAUUCGGAUUCCGGAUCAGGACCUUCACCGAACACUGGUUCGUCACAAUCUUUUGCUUUUAGAUACAUAACCUCUUCAUCUGGGAAGUCGAAUUUGAUUGGUUGAUAGUCUUCGAUUGGUUGAUGAGCCAAAUGUUCUGCCAAGAUGCUACCUUUGAUUGCUUUCUGAGUGCGAUACUCGAUAUCAUACUCGGACAAUAACAUCUGCCAGCGAGCAAUCCUUCCAGUUAAAGCUGGCUUCUCAAAUAUGUACUUGAUAGGAUCCAUCCUGGAUAUCAACCAAGUUGUAUGAUUAAUCAUAUAAUGACGGAGACGCUUGGCAGCCCAAGCUAAAGCACAACAAGUUUUCUCAAGUACAGAAUAUCGGGACUCACAAUCAGUGAACUUCUUACUCAAAUAGUAGAUAGCGUGCUCUUUCUUUCCGGUUUCAUCUUGUUGACCCAAAACACAGCCCAUGGAAUCUUCCAGUACUGUUAAAUACAUGAUCAAAGGUCUUCCGUCAACUGGAGGAACAAGAAUUGGAGGUUCUAACAGAUAUUCUUUGAUUUGAUCAAAAGCCUUCUGACAAUCAUCAUUCCACUCCACCCCUUGAUCCUUGCGGAGUAACUUGAAAAUUGGUCCACAUGUGGCGGUCAUGUGAGAGAUAAAUCUGGAGAUAUAAUUGAGUCUACCAAGAAAACCUCUGACUUGCUUCUCUGUCUUUGGAACAGGCAUUUCUCUGAUGGCUCUGACCUUGUCGGGAUCAACUUCAAUACCCUUUUGACUGACGAUAAAGCCUAGGAGUUUACCAGAUCUAACACCGAAAGUAAAUUUGUUAGGAUUCAACCGGAGCUUGUACUUUCUCAACCGCUGAAACAUCUUCAACAAAUACUCAACAUGUUCUUCUUCUGUGCCAGACUUAACAAUCAUAUCAUCUACGUAGACCUCAAUUUCUUUGUGAAUCAUAUCAUGAAAGAUUUUGGUCAUACCCCUCUGGUAAGUGGCACCAGCAUUUAUCAAACCAAAUGGCAUCACCACAUAGCAGAAAGCACCCCAGGGCGUGAUGAAAGACGUCUUUUCUCUAUCCUCAGGAGCCAUCCUGAUCUGAUUGUAGCCGGAGAAACCGUCCAUGAAGGAGAAAACCUUACACUUAGCAGUGUUAUCAACCAAUACAUCAAUGUGAGGCAAAGGAAAAUUAUCCUUCGGACUAGCCUUGUUCAAGUCCCGAUAAUCAACACACAUUCUGACUUUGCCAUCUUUCUUUGGAACAGGCACUAUGUUGGCCAACCAUUGAGGAUACUCUGAUGUGACUAGGAAACCUGCAUCAAUCUGCUUUCGCACUUCCUCUUUGAUCUUGAGGGCCAUAUCAGGAUGAGAUCUUCUCAAUUUCUGCUUUACCGGAGGACACUCAGGCUUCAAAGGUAGUCUGUGUUCAACGACAUCAGGGUCUAGACCCGGCAUGUCUUUGUAUGACCAUGCGAAUAUAUCAACAUAUUCUCUGAUAAGCUCAAUUACUCUUUUCUUGACAGAUACAUCCAACAAUGCCCCAAUCUUGAUUUCUUUCUUGUCUUCCUCAGUACCCAGAUUGAUGAUUUCUAUCUCCUCCUUAUGAGGUUGAAUUGUCUUCCUUUCUUGUUCCAACAUCCAUUUGAUCUCAUUCGGGAUCUCCUCAUCCUCCUCUGCCACAGCCUCGUAAACCGGGACCUCAAAGUUGGGAGGAAGCAUGGGGUCACUGUGUUCAACGGAUUCACUUAUGUUCAGUCUGCACAUGAUUCAUGAUUGAUUUUAAUGAGUAAAUGCAGACCUUUGGUUUUGAAAUUUAAAAGAAAAAGAGAAUGAUUUUUUUGGAUUUUUGUAUUACCAUUUUUUCCAGAAAAAGCAACAAAAAAUAAAAAGUAAUAAAAGCCGUGAUAGAAACGACGAUUUUUAUUUGUAAUAAAAGUACUAGAAGCAAAACAAAGCCCUACAUGAUUUCACUUUCGCCUUGGGCAGAACGAAAGGAGUUUUCUUAAAAACAAAAAAAACAACAAAAGACAAGACAAACACAUUACUUAGAGCGGGGUGUCACAGAAGGAAUGUCAACAGCAAUCCAGUUGCAGCAAGCUCCUCCAGGCGUCACAAAGACCGGUGUCACUCCUCCAGGUGCAUCAUCUAAAAUUGCAUUGGUCUCUGGCGAAUCAUGAAUGAAACCAGCACUGUGGAAAGAACCUCUGGUAGGGUCGAACAUCCCAGGCUUACUGUUAAGGAAACCAAUUCCCUCCUUACGCUUGUUUUCUGGCAACUCCACUAGCUGACCCCAGCCUUCGGUUUUGCCUUCCUGAAUUACUCUCCGGGCAUCCUUCAACGAAGCCAUACAAGUCUCAAUCUUACCGACACUUUCUUCGGCAGAGAAUCCUUGGAAUGAUGGCCCGUCUGAACCACUACCACCGAUAACAGAGAAAGCAGACAAAUUGCUGAUUAAAAAGGCCGAUUCGCCACUCACAGUGAUCAACUUUCCACAACUUACAAACUUCAAUUUCUGAUGGAGAGUAGAUGUCACAGCCCCAGCGUCAUGAAUCCAAGGUCUGCCGAGCAAACAGCUGAAAGAAGCCUGGAUUUCCAUGACUUGGAAAGUAACCUGAAAUUCAUGUGGGCCGACCGAAAUUGGCAAAUCUACCUCACCAUACACCGAUCUCCUAGUCCCAUCGAAGGCCCUCACCGUCACCUUGCUAAGUCUCAAAGGAGCCUCGGAGUACGCCAAUUGGUCGAAAGUUGACUUGGGCAUCACAUUAAGUGCAGAGCCGGUAUCUAUCAGGACGUUGGAUAACUAGUCCGUUCUGCAAAGUACAGAGAUGAAUAAUGCUUGAUUAUGCUUAUUCCCCUCCGCCGGGAGAUCUUCAUCACUGAAAGUCAGACUGUUACACGCGGUCACAUUCCCCACAAUGCUUUCGAAUUGACCCAGAGUUACAUCAUAAUCCACAAAUGCCUGGUCUAAAACUUUCCUCAGGGCAUCCCGAUGAGCACCAGAACUUGAUAACAGGGCCAUGAUGGAAAUCUUCGCAGGAGUUUGUAACAGCUGGUCCACCACCCUGUAUUCACUCUUCUUGAUCAGCUUCAAGACUUCAUCGGCAUCCUCAAAGUCAAACUCUUUGGCCUGCUCCCCAGCUUUACCUUUACCGGCGUUUCGCUCUUUUACUGGCUCAUCGACCGGAACACUAACACUCUUCGGACCCACCGUAGGAAAGAUGCGGCCACUCCUCAAAAUCCGGCUAUUCUCUGCGAUAUUAUCCACAGCAACAGGUGAAGUUGUCUCACUUCCGGGCUCAAGAAUCGUGCCUUCAUACUUAUAGGGUACAGCUUUCUGAGCAGUAGUAGGCGUGGGCCUAGGCACACAGAUUACCAAGGGAGUACCAACGGGCUUUGUACUGUUAGGGUUUAUCACCAGCGGCCUCCUGGCUCUGAAUACCGGAGUGACAACACAGACGUCCUUGCUCUCGGGUUCCCUUGUAACCACAAGUUCCCUUCUAUUUAGGAGACCCUGCAUAUCAUUCUGGACUUGUAUACAUCCACGAGGAUCCAUCAAACAUAUGUCACAAGCUCCAUGAUUGUGGUUGAAGAGAGUUGCUUUACACAGUUUCACAUGUAUCGGUACCAGAGGAGUCUUGAUAUCACCUACAGAGAGAAUGCGAGCCUCUUCCCGAUCGUCUUGAAUCAUAUUAACAGCAGGCCCAUGAGUAGGCAGAGGAUUGUUCUGAGCUACAGCAUCAGGAUCGGUGAAGGUUAACUCUUUACUAUUUAUCAGUUUCUGAACCUCUUUCUUAAGAGCAAAACAACGCUCCACAUCGUGGCCUGGUGCCCCUUGAUGGUAAAUACAAUGAAGGUCCGGACGGUACCAGCGUGGGAGAGGGUCCGGAAUGCGAGGAGGUGGUAUUGUUUGGACCAGAUUCUGUGCAAGUAAAGAAGGGAGCAAUGCUCCAUAGGUCAUUGGCAAGGGGUCAAAUUGUUGUUUUUGAUUUUGCUGGUUGUAGGGAGCUUGAGGACGGGGUUGUUGUUGUGGGGGGUUAUAUGGCCUUUGUUGGUAUGGUUGUUGAGGAUAGUAGGGUUGUUGAGGAUAGUAGGGUGGUUGAGAGAGUUGUUGUGGGUUAUAUGGUUGUUGAUAUAGUGGGGGAUAGUAUAAUGAAGGCCCUUGAGGUCUUGGUGGUUGAUAGUUUGGGUUCUGGGGUGCGGUCAUUUGUGGGGUGAUGUUGGCAACAAAGGGGUGAUUAGGGUACACGGGCUGAGGUCCUCCAUGAGCCACCAUGCCAACCUCUUGAGCAUUCCUCUUUGGGUAACCAUUCCCAAAUUUCUUAUUACCAUUGGACGAAACCCCUGAAGAACCACCUGAAGAACUUCCCGAAACAGCUGCUCCCUUACGAGCCCACUCCUCGAUACGCAUUCCUGUUUCCACCAAGUCAGUGAACUUCUGUGAUGCACAGACAAUCAUCUUUUCUGAAUAACAAGGGCUCAGGGUUUCAUAGAACAAUUCUGAAAGUUCCCUCUCAUCCAAGGGAGGACGAAUCUGAGCAGCUUUUUGAAUGAAGCGUUGUUCGUAUUCUUUGAACGAUUCUUUAUCUUUCUGGGUUAAGGACUGCAACUCCUUGCGACUUGGCGCCAGAUAGGUAUUAUAUUUGUACUGUUGCAUGAAGGCCUCAGCCAACUGUUCAAAAGUAGUGACUCCUUUCAAUCCCAUGAACCAGGUAUGUGCCGGACCAGUCAAACUAUCCUGGAAGCAGUGAAUGAGUAAGGGAACAUUAUUCUUGUAAGCUAUCAUCUUGCUAAUAUACAUAGUUAGAUGAUUUUGUGGACAUGUGUCCCCUUGAUACUUCUCAAAUACAGGCAUCUUGAACUUUGGAGGUAUGUUUACAUCUGGUACCAAGCAAAGGUCAUAUAUGCUUUGGACGACUGCUUCCUUUCCCCGCAUAUUACUCAUCUUCUUCUCUAGAGCACCGAACCUUUCUUCCCAAUCGAUUGCUUUGUCAUCCCCCAUUAUACUGUCGGAGUGAUAAAUCUGUUCUUCAUGUUGUGGCCCAACAUGCACAGUAGGACCUGCUUGAGUCAUGGUAGCUUGAGGAAUCGGUUGACUCAUCUGGAAAUGUGCCGAAGUCUGUUGACCCUGUGCGAAAGGCGUUUCAGUAGCGCCUGGACCAAAACCCCCGUUGGUUGCAAUCGGCAUGCCCCAAGGGUAGCCUGAAGGCAUGGAAUACUGAGGAGUAGCAAAGGGACCCUGGGGGCCAAGAGGACGGAAGCCUGAGUUGCCCAUAGUUGCCAUAUUACCAGAAGAAAAAUCAGUCAUCAGAGGCUGGGUGAGGCCGAUAAUUGUAGUAGUAGUCGGAGAUGGUUGCGGGGGACCCUCAGGUGCAGCUGUGACGACCACAACAGGAGUUGAAUUGGAGAUUGCUGCUUGCUCUCUCUCAGCCAUCAUAGUUUCCAUCAUAAGUGCCAUUCUUUCCAUCUCCCCCUUGAGGUUAACCAGUUCCUCUCUGAGCUGAGCGUUUUCCUGUUCUGCCGCUAACAUCCUUUUCUUGAUAUGAGCUCGAGUGUUGUGAAUGCGAGCGGGUUUGUACUGAAUACGCCGGGCCACUUUGCUUUUCUGAGGCAGAAAUGAGGAGAGUAUGAGACUUGGAUUUUGAUACUUUUUAUGAAUGCAAUAUGAUGCAUGAUAUGCUAUAUGCCAAAAUAUGCGAUUUUUAUAUAUAUUUUUUUUAUUUUUAUUGAAGGACCUAUAAAAGCAGUUUUGUAAACAUACCAACCUAAACAAAUCAUAAAAAAACAAAGUUGAUUACAAGAUAAUUCCCUUUCUAACAACAAAGCCAAGGGAUAAACUUUCAAAGAAAAACAAGAUAAUUCCCUUUCUAACAACAAAGCCAAGGGAUAAACUUCGUAACUACACAAAAAACAUCAAAACCAACUGAAAGACUCUCAAGCCUCUGAACCGAGCUACUCCUCAAAAUCAGAAUGCGGCCCAUCAAAGAGAUCCAUACGCUUCUUCUUCCGCCCGGGAAUUUGAUCAAGCGCGGCAUCUUUCUCUCUGAUACUCUUUUUCAGCUGGGCGAUUAUCACAUCUUUCUUGUGGCUAUCAUAGGCUUCUUGCUCUAGUAGGGCCAUCACAGCCUCAUAUUCCUGAUCCUUUUUCUGAUACUCCCCUUUCCACUUUUGUACUUCACGUUCCGCCUCAACUAAACGCUCUUGGUAUUCCUUCUCGGUGUCAAAGGUCAUAGGUAGGGGUGGUGCUGGAGUGAUUGCAGAUACAAAUCUUGAUAUCUUGUAAGGCAUCCCAAUUUGAACAGCUCUAUCUAUCACCCACUGAGUAUAUGAUUCAUGAACGGCUCCUGUCUUCCUCCCUAACUGGCUCUUGUCUCUUCUACGAAUGGUGUGCCAAGCUCGCACAACCUGCUCUUUCAUGCCUUUACUGUCAUCUACGUUGAGGUAAUACACAUUCUCUAGAUAGAUGCUGAGCGGCUUCCCCUCCAUGGGAUAUCCGAACUGACGUCUGGCAAGUGUAGGAUUGUAGCUAAUUCCUCCUUCUAUACCAAGAAGUGGUACAUUGGCAAAUUUCCCACAACUGUCAAUAAUAGUUCCUUUGUCAUAAACCCGAUCGUACCACACUACCUCGGUUGGAGUCAGGGAAAUGAGUCUUUUUGACCAAAGAAGGUUUUCUGGAUUGGUGGUGAAGCGAGGAGUUCGGGGUAAGUGUGAGGUGAUCCAUCGAUAUAACAAUUGUGCACAACAAAGGAUAGUUCCACGACCAGCCUGGGUGCGCCUAUGGAUGGAGAGGUACGUAUCACCUAAUAAGGUAGGGACAGGGUUCCUUGACAAGAAAAUUUGAAUGGCUUUAAUGUCCACAAAGUUGUCGAGGCUAGGGAAAAGUACGAGGCCAUAAAUAAGCAAGGCAAGGAUGGAGUUAAAGGCAUAGGCAACCCCCAUUUUGUCAAAGAAUGUGGUCCUUUCGUAAAGAAAAUCGGUGGAGAAACCCAAAAGUUUUCCCUUAGUGAUGAGAUGUGCUUUCACUUCGUCCGUUUCAAGAUGGAGAGCUGCGGCAAUGGUUGAGUGCUUGGGGAUUUCCUCGAGGCCACUGAAAGGUACUUUGUCCAACACUGGUAGAUUAAUCCAACAAGAGUACUCCUCCAAGGUGGGGAGAAUCUGGUAAUCUUGAAAAGUAAAGCAAUGGUAGCCCGGGUCAUAGAACUGAACAAAAGCGUUGAGAAGCCCUUCGUCGAUAUCUGUCUUAACAACACCCAUCAAAUUUCCAUGUUGCUUGUAGAAAUCGUCCAUACAAACCACUUUCUUCCCUAGCUUCCUCAAACUCAAGAGAUCUGGCUUCCUGAAACUAUACUGCCUAAGGUUCCUCAUAUCUACAAUGUUUACAACAAAGCUUUUAUAAGUCCUUCAAAAAAAUGAUGAAUGGAAAAAAUAUUUAUGGAUGGAUGCAUGUAUGCAUGAUGAGGUUAAAUUCAUAUGUUGGAGUCAAAGGGUAAUAACGCCAUUUGGUAAGGACUAAGGUUUUUAGAUUGCACUUGUAACAAGGGUUCUACCAAGUUCCCAAAGUCUUUAACCACUUCCGAAUAUUUAUCGGGUGACGGGAGUACUCCCAUUCCAAUUAUAUUCGUCGGAAAGUCUCGUUUGGGUGUAGUAUCGCGUAUCAACUAAUUCAAGAGUACUCUCGAUUAGCCACCGCACUACGUUCCUAAAAGGCCAAGAUGGGUUAAAGGUGACUAAAGGUCCUCAACUUCAAAGGUCACUUGAAAAUAGCAUGCCAAACAUGAGUACUCACGUUGACAACAUAUACUUCCAAGAUCCCUCCGUUGAGUGGGGUUAUCACAUGUGCCAAUACCGAAGAGUACUCUUGGCAUGGAACUAUGAUUAUACCACCGUCCUAUCUUAAGUUUCCCUCAAGCUCGGGUGUAGAGCUUAUCUCACCACUCACGUAAUAAAGUAAACAUGUAAGCAAAAUAUUUACAAAGCAUAAACAAAUAAUAAAGCACAAAAUAAAGAAAAUAAGGUGGGUUUAACCCGCGUAGGAUCUAUGUCCCCAGUGAAGUCGCCAUUUCUGUGCUCGCGAUUUUCGGAUAUCAAACCAUUAAUUGAUUUGAAUCGUCAAUCUUUGAACUCUCGAUUUUUAUUCUUGGGAAGGGAAAAAAUGAGUAAAAACCCUUAUCGAGACUUUGGAUUCGGGGGUUGGUUUCGAAUAGGGAAGGUGUUAAGCACCCUAAACGACUUCGGUACUCCGAAGGAACCGCUUACCUAGAUUAUCUUGUGCUAAAUUCAUUUGCUUACUUGAAAAAUUAUUACCUAAAAAUCUAAGUGAAAGAAUGGAGGGAGAAGAAGUAUGUUUUUGGUUAUUUUUAUUUGAUUUGGAAGGACGAGUCCUCUGCCUACGUACCCUUUUUGAGAAAGGGAUCAAAACCGACGUAGUUCCACUCAAAAAUUUCUUUGGUGGGUUAGGUUGAUUUUAAGAUUUUUUGAAAAUGGUUUUAAGAAGAGAAAGAGGCCUCAAGGCAUGAGAUAAAAGAAAUGAGUGAGGUUGAUUGAUUUUAAAUUUUGAAAAUGAUUGAAGUUGAAUUAAAAUUGAUUAAAAAUUUGAUUAAGAAAAAAAAGGGAAAAUGUUGCUAAAAAAAUAUUUUUUUGAAUUUGACAUAUUUGAUUUUUUUUUUGUGAAAAAUGAUUUUUCUAAACUAACGGUGAAAACUAACGUAACGUCGUAAAAAACUAACGGAAAGCGGUAAAUAAAAUGUGGUAGUGUCGGUGCAUGUGUCGGUGCUUGUGUUACCUACAUUAUUACACCAAUUCCUAAAUACAACCCUAAGGCCUUUAUGCCAAAAUAAAAUGCAAGAAAUAAAAUUACAUCAAUUCCCUAUUUAUACGUACUAAAUCCAUGACAAAAUAAAAUGAUAUAAUUAAAUGUGCAUGCUAUGAUUCAAAACAAAAAUUAAAUAGUUAGUAAUCACAAGAAAUAUUAUGAUGAAUGAGACAUAAGAAAUAAUAAGCAAGAAUUAAGAUAAUAAAAAAUUUAAGAUCAUCAUAUGAGAAAUAAAAAAACAAAUUAAAAGAAAAAAAUAGGAUGGAUUUUUAACAAUGAUAGAAAAUUAAAAAUAGUGAGAAAAACAUUUUUUGAAAUUUUUUCUAAACACAAAAAUGUCAAAAAGUGUAAAAAAAACAGUAUUUAAAAAAUAAAGAUAAUUGAAAUAAAAAAUAAUAAAACAUUGGCUCAGCAGGAUUAAUUCUGGACCAUUGGAUUAAAUCAAUAGUCCAGAUUCAUUCACUGGAUUCAUCACAGCCGUUGGAUCCAACGAUCCAAGGGUCACAAAAACAACAUAGAAACAAAGGGAUUAUACUGAAAACACAGUGACCGUCAGAUCAACGAUCUGACGGUCCAAACAGAAACCACACCACACUCACGCAGAAAAAACACACGCCUGAUCAAAAAUCAAGAUACACAGGAGCCCUCAGAUCAAGGAAUGAUCCAGAUCCAAGGGCUGUAACGCGAUGGAGCACUGAAUUGCAGUAUGCGCAUAUGCACAAGAUCCAACCAAAAAAGAAAGCACUAUAAAAGAGUUUUAACAAAAAAAAAACAACACAAUUCACACAAAAAACUUCUUUCUAAAAAAAACCUAGAGAGAGAAGCUCCCACUUCUCUCUAGGAAUCUCGCCGGAGAAGAAGGUGGGGGAGGGGCGGCCGGAGCAGCUCCGGCGUGGUGGCCGGCCGGUGCGCCGCCGCGCCGGAGUUUUUUUUUUUGCUUUUUUUUUGAAUUUUUUUACAUCAAAACACUCCUUUUCCCUUCCUCUACUCAAAUCCGGACUAAGAUUUUCAAAACAAACCACACACAAACCUAGAUCUAGAGUGCAAGAUUAAAAAAAAAAGAGCAAAAAAAAGUACCUCUACUCUCUCUCUUCUUCUCCGGUUCGUUUCUUCCCUCUGGUUCGGCGCUGGUUUUUCCGGUUCGUAGCUUGCCUCUCCUUGGUUCAGUCCGUAGCUUUGCUCCUUGGUUCGGAUUUGGUUUUGUUUUGGUUCGUGCUUGCUUGCUUUGAUUCGUGUUGGUUAUUGCUUUUUGUUCGUGUUGGUUGUUGUUGUUGUUAUUGAGUAAGGUAUUUGAAGUUAUGGUGUUGCUGGAUUUUUCUAUGAAUCUAUGAAUGUUCUUCCUAAACUCAUACUAUUUUCUUUGUAAUUUUUGGGUUUGAUUUGAAAAAGGUUGGAACAGUAGAAAAUUAGGGUUUGUGAAUUGCUGCUGAUUUUCUGACGUGAAUAGUGACUUCUGGCCCAUUUCCCAAUGAUUGACAGGGUUUUUAUAGUGACAAACUAGGGUUGGCUCUGGUACAAACAAAUGACCAAAAUGCCCCUGCAGCUGAGACUUGGAGAAAAAGAUUUGACAAAAAAAGAUAAAUAAAUAAAUAAAAAAAAAACAAAAUGAGUAAAACAAGUAAAAAAAAUAAAUAAUAAAAAAAAGAAAAGAAAAGGGAAAGAAGAAAGUCACGUGAGUGACUUUUGUUUUUUUCUUUUUUUUCUAAAAAAAUAAAAAAAAAAUAAUAAUAAUAAUAAACAAACUAGCCUAAAAAAGAAAAUAAAUAAAAAAAAAAAAGUCCCUUCGAAAUCUGACAUGAGGUACUUCAAAGUAUCCUCCCUGCCGAAAUUUUGUUUGAAAUGAUUAAUAAAAAAAC